rnacentral:rRNA from 1 species
AGCUCCAAUAGCGUAUAUUAAAGUUGUUGCGGUAAAAAAGCUCGUAGUUGGAUUUCUGUCUUGAACGACCAGUCCAUACUUUGUAUGUGUAUUUGGUUCGAUCUCGGCAUCCUCUCGAAAGACUGUUCUGCGCUUGAUUGCGUGGGCAGGAUUCCGGGACUUUUACUUUGAGGAAAUUAGAGUGUUCACGGCAGGCUAUCGCCAGAAUACAUUAGCAUGGAAUAAUAUUAUAGGAUCUUGGUUCUAUUUUGUUGGUUUCUAGAAUUGGGAUAAUGAUUAAUAGGGACAAUUGGGGGCAUUCGUACUGACGCGUUAGAGGUCAAAUUCUUGGAUCGCGUCAUGACGAACUACUGCGAAAGCAUUUGCCAAGGAUGUUUUCA